AUACGUAGGGUGCAAGCGUUAAUCGGAAUUACCGGGCGUAAAGCGUGCGCAGGCGGUUUUGUAAGACAGUGGUGAAAUCCCCGGGCUCAACCUGGGAACUGCCAUUGUGACUGCAAGGCUGGAGUGCGGCAGAGGGGGAUGGAAUUCCGCGUGUAGCAGUGAAAUGCGUAGAUAUGCGGAGGAACACCGAUGGCGAAGGCAAUCCCCUGGGCCUGCACUGACGCUCAUGCACGAAAGCGUGGGGAGCAAACAGGAUUAGAUACCCUGGUAGUCCACGCCCUAAACGAUGUCAACUGGUUGUUGGGGAUUUAUUUUCUCAGUAACGAAGCUAACGCGUGAAGUUGACCGCCUGGGGAGUACGGCCGCAAGGUUAAAACUCAAAGGAAUUGACGGGG
rnacentral:rRNA from 1 species